rnacentral:rRNA from 1 species
CAACUUUCAACAACGGAUCUCUUGGCUCUCGCAUCGAUGAAGAACGCAGCGAAAUGCGAUAAGUAAUGUGAAUUGCAGAUUUUCAGUGAAUCAUCGAAUCUUUGAACGCACAUUGCGCCUCCUGGUAUUCCGGGAGGCAUGCCUGUUCGAGCGUCAUUA